CCAAAUUUCAUUUUUUCUAAAUACUCACAAAAAUCUCAAUCCACGCUGCUAGUAACCUACUCUUUCUCCUCUUUUCUUUGACUCUCUUCGAAGCCAACGACAGCAAGAACUCAACGCCGCUUCUAUUGACCAUCGUUCUGCCAUUCGUGACACUCCAAUGACUAGUUGUUUGCGGCUCCAACUUUCGACCUUUGUCGCUCACACCGUCUGGGGGCUUUCUUAGGGAAAAACAAAGGUUGAAGGUAAAGGAGAAGAUUGAAAAGUGUGUCAAAGAAAAAUUGGUGGAUUUUUCCGAUGUGCAGAAGUGGCUGCUAAAGUAAUCAUUCUUUAGUGUGGAUUUAAUGUAUAGGAAAGCAGAGGUGAAGAAUAUUACAACAGAUUUGAUAAAUAGAUGUGAUAGAUAACAUAAGUGAUGAAGAAGAGGAGGUUGACAGGAUGUAUAUCUCCAUACAACUUGUCUUGCGACAUUAGCAAAUAUGGCUCCUCAUGUCCACCGUUUGAGUUUAUAUGCAUCUCAGAGGCUGGUCAGCCUUUUUGAUAUGCUUUCAAGAAAGUAUGUCCUUAAUUACUUAUGUUGGUUGAUUUAGACCUUAUAACUGUUGUACUUGUAAAUUUAGCUUUGUUCUAAUUAACCUACCUCUUUUGUUAUUGAAUCUGUACAUUUCUGUAGUUUAUAUAUGCAUUAAUGCACCGGCAGCAAGUAUUAGCCAUUCAAGAAUCACCCGCGAUUUAUUCAACUUCUUGAGAACAUGUAGACUGUAUGCUUCUGAAUAUUUUAUCAGAUGCCCCCACAAGAGACUAUGCUUCAGAAUAUUUUAUUAUGUUCUUUUUUCAAUUUUAUCUCCCCUAUCUCUGUUAAUAUUCAUAUUUGACUUCUUACUUAUUUGGCUUUGUCAGUCAGUUGCAGGUACUUAUUCACUCGUUAAAACUGUGUAGGUAUUAGAUUUCUUCAAUAGCCGCAUAGAUGCUCAAUGAAUGGAUGAUGAUUGGUCAGUAGAGAAAGUGUUGCAAGUUAUCAUUGAUAACUGUAGAUCUUGGCGUGGGGAAGGCUUGAAGGUCUUGCACGAAUAUGAUCUACUUUAGUGAUGAAGCUACCAAGUUAUGCAAGAAUCCAUUGGAGUGGUGAAGCCAUGUUGGAGCAAAUGAUUGAUUUAUAAGACUUUUUGUAGGGUUGGUAGCAAAAUUUUGGUUGCAAUAUACUUAUAUUAAGCUUGUUGGUAUCAAAAGAUGUCUGUUUAUUCUAUCAUUGUAAACCCUUUACCAAUAAUUGUACAAAUAUUACAAAGUGUAUGUUAAAGUAUAUAUAUUCAAGUGUUGACUGUUUGUUUC